UCAGAUCACCACAGACGUCACCAUCACCAGCAGUGACAGCACCACCGGCACCACCGGCAGGCCUCCGCCAUCACCACCGUCCCCAGUAUGACCAUCACCAUCACCAUCACCAUCACCAGCACCACCGGCUCCGGGAUCAAACCCGUCACCAGCAUGUCCAUCAUCUACCAUCACCAUCACCAUCACCACCA